AGGGUUUGAUUCUGGCUCAGGAUGAACGCUGGCGGCGUGCCUAACACAUGCAAGUCGAACGGACUUACAUUGAAGCCUAGCGAUAUGUAAGUUAGUGGCGGACGGGUGAGUAACGCGUGGGUAACCUGCCUUGUACUGGGGGACAACAGUUGGAAACGACUGCUAAUACCGCAUAAGCGCACAGCUUCGCAUGAAGCAGUGUGAAAAACUCCGGUGGUACAAGAUGGACCCGCGUCUGAUUAGCUGGUUGGUGAGGUAACGGCCCACCAAGGCGACGAUCAGUAGCCGGCCUGAGAGGGUGAACGGCCACAUUGGGACUGAGACACGGCCCAA
rnacentral:rRNA from 1 species